GCCUGGGUGGCUCAGUUGGUUAAGCGUCCGACUUUGGCUCAGGUCAUGAUCUCACAGUUUGUGGGUUCGAACCCCGUGUCAGGCU
rnacentral:tRNA from 1 species